UACGUAGGGCGCAAGCGUUGUCCGGAAUUAUUGGGCGUAAAGAGCUCGUAGGCGGUCUGUCGCGUCUGCCGUGAAAACCCGAGGCUUAACCUCGUGGCUUGCGGUGGAUACGGGCAGACUAGAGGUAGGUAGGGGAGAAUGGAAUUCCCGGUGUAGCGGUGAAAUGCGCAGAUAUCAGGAGGAACACCGAUGGCGAAGGCAGGUCUCUGGGCAUUAACUGACGCUGAGGAGCGAAAGCAUGGGGAGCGAACAGG
rnacentral:rRNA from 1 species